rnacentral:piRNA from 1 species
AAGAUUUACCCAGUCCUCUUGAGUCAGC